AUGUACCACCGUACAUUGCGGUCCCUCCGCGCCGCCCACGCCCACCUGACGACUGCUCGCUACGUUUCGUUCGUUAGCC
rnacentral:sRNA from 1 species